AGAGUCCAACCUGCAGACUGGAAACUCUCAGUCACUACCUGCUCCACCAUAACCUGACAAUGAGUCAAAAGAAAAAGAAGACAGAAAAGAUUAUUUGUGCACAGGCAACACCACGACUGCUCAACUACUCCCACAACCAGGACCCAGUGUUUUUGAAGUUUCCUGGUCAUCACGUCCACCAGAGUUGAUUCAGCACAUCCCAAACACACGCAGGCCAGAGCCCAGAGUGACAGGGAAACUAGUGAUGAGACAGCAAGAGAAUGAGAGGCAGUAAGUGGGAAAAUAUGGGAAAAAGUUUAACAAAGAGUAGAAGAAAGGGAGCGCACUGAAAGACUGGAUCUGACCUCAGAUGGGAGAUUUCUCAAAGACAUUCUGCUGAUUCUGCAAGUGUGAAAUAUGUGCUCACC